UGGGGAAUAUUGCGCAAUGGGGGAAACCCUGACGCAGCGACGCCGCGUGGGUGAUGAAGGCCUUCGGGUCGUAAAGCCCUGUCGGAGGGGAAGAAGGACUCUCGUGCAAAUAGUGCGAGGGUUUGACGGUACCCUUAGAGGAAGCACCGGCUAACUCCGUGCCAGCAGCCGCGGUAAUACGGAGGGUGCAAGCGUUGCUCGGAAUUACUGGGCGUAAAGGGCGUGUAGGCGGUUUCGUAUGUCUGGCGUGAAAGCCCCGGGCUCACCUCGGGAAGUGCGUCGGAAACUGCGAGACUAGAGUCCCGGAGAGGGAGGUGGAAUUCCAGGUGUAGCGGUGAAAUGCGUAGAUAUCUGGAAGAACACCGGUGGCGAAGGCGGCCUCCUGGACGGUGACUGACGCUGAGACGCGAAAGCGUGGGGAGCAAACAGGAUUAGAUACCCCCGUAGUCC
rnacentral:rRNA from 1 species